ACUAGUAAUAUCCAGAACUUAUCUUUGUACUAAUUAAUCCGCUUUUAGGACGAUAUUGUUAGGAUUUUACAUUACCCAUGAUGUAUAAUUCAUCUUAAAUGACAUUAUACACAGAAAAUCAUCAAAACACACAUAAAAUAUAUCCAAAAUCUAUAAACACAGUUUUCAAAAUCUUUUUUAAUCUCUCAUAAUUUUGAUUGGAUCUUCUUUUUUUUUACACUAGCCGAGAUAUACACUUGUUUUAAUAACAUUUCAGCAAAAAAAUCAUCAAAAACGGACAUAAAAAUACUCUAAAGCUCUAAACACAGUUUUUUAAAUCGUUUUAAAUCUCUCAAAUUUUCAUCAAAUCGUAUAUUUUAAACACUAUCCAUGAUAUACACGACAUUUUAAUGUUAUUUUACAAAAAAAAAUCAUCUCAAACGAACAAAAAUUACAUGUUUUAGGAGCUUCAAAAUCGCCAAUGGAGGUUGAAGAGAAAGAGAGUACGAAGAAGAAGAAGGUCAUGUGGGCCAACUGAGCUCUUAUUGGUUGAGUUAUUACUGUGGGCCAUGUAGGUAGUUGAAAAUGGUUGGUUUAUUUAAUUGAAGAAAUAAAUGGAGAAAGGCUAUUUUGGGAAGUGCAAGGAUAAAAGGAUAGGGAGAAUAGAGAGGGGGCAGUAAGAAUUCAUUUAGGGGGGUAUGGGGUAUAUGGAGUUAAUCCCCUUUAAACCCUAAGUCUAGAUUAGUUAACCCUAAGGGUAUAAUUGUAUUUUACCCUUCAUUAAAAGUGAGGGUAAAAGUGGUUAGUGUAAACAUGAAAAGUGAUACUAUGAAUAUGGUAUUUGUG
rnacentral:lncRNA from 1 species